AGAGUUUGAUUAUGGCUCAGGAUGAACGCUAGCUACAGGCUUAACACAUGCAAGUCGAGGGGCAGCAUUGGAGUAGCAAUACUUCAGAUGGCGACCGGCGCACGGGUGAGUAACACGUAUCCAACCUGCCGCUUACUCGGGGAUAGCCUUUCGAAAGAAAGAUUAAUACCCGAUGGUAUAAAGAGUUCGCAUGUUCUCUUUAUUAAAGAAUUUCGGUAAGCGAUGGGGAUGCGUUCCAUUAGAUAGUUGGCGGGGUAACGGCCCACCAAGUCUACGAUGGAUAGGGGUUCUGAGAGGAAGGUCCCCCACAUUGGAACUGAGACACGGUCCAAACUCCUACGGGAGGCAGCAGUGAGGAAUAUUGGUCAAUGGACGAGAGUCUGAACCAGCCAAAAGUAGCGUGAAGGAUGACUGCCCUAUGGGUUGUAAACUUCUUUUAUAAGGGAAUAAAGUGAGGGACGUGUCCCUUUUUGUAUGUACCUUAUGAAUAAGGAUCGGCUAACUCCGUGCCAGCCGCCGC
rnacentral:rRNA from 1 species